GAGAGGGGUUUGUGUAUUCUAAAUGUUAAUACUUUGGGUUUGGGGAGUGAGAAAGAUGAGAAAGAUGAACAAAAGAGUGUCAUUAGAAAAGAAAACUUUAGGGACAAAAGGAAAGUAUGAAGCUCAAAAAAAGAGAGAAAAGAAUCAAAGAGAAGGUGGAGAGGGAAAUGAGAAAGAGUUAGAGCUAAGUGUUGUAAAAAGUGAAUUAAAGUCCCUAGUUGGUUGAGUCAAAAGAAAAAGAGAGUUGUUCAUUGGGUGAGUGAUGUGAGUGGGUGUUAUUUUGGUUUUGAGAUGAUGAUAAAAGGGUAAAACUUGUAAUCACUUAUAAAAAGGGGUAGAAUGAUGAGAAUGAAUCUAUGUAUGCAUGAGUUGCUUCUAGUCUUAGAUAAAUUUUGCAUAAUGAUCAAGCUUUUUGUUCUUGAGUGAUAACCACCUUGAAAUGACAACAUUUGAAUCCUUCUUUUCAUUCAUAUUAGACCAUUGCUUACCUAGC
rnacentral:lncRNA from 1 species